AACGCUAGCUACAGGCUUAACACAUGCAAGUCGAGGGGCAGCGCAGUGUAGCAAUACAUGGGCGGCGACCGGCGCACGGGUGCGUAACGCGUAUCCAACUUUCCCGAUACUCUUGGAUAGCCUUCCGAAAGGGAGAUUAAUACAAGAUGGCGUUUCACUUUCGCAUGUUAUUGAAACUAAAGAUUUAUCGGUAUCGGAUAGGGAUGCGUGACAUUAGGUAGAUGGCGGGGUAACGGCCCACCAUGCCCACGAUGUCUAGGGGUUCUGAGAGGAAGGUCCCCCACACUGGAACUGAGAUACGGUCCAGACUCCUACGGGAGGCAGCAGUGAGGAAUAUUGGUCAAUGGCCGGAAGGCUGAACCAGCCAAGUAGCGUGAAGGAUGAAGGUUCUAUGGAUUGUAAACUUCUUUUAUAUAGGAAUAAAACCUCCCACGUGUGGGAGCUUGUAUGUACUAUAUGAAUAAGCAUCGGCUAACUCCGUGCCAGCAGCCGCGGUAAUACGGAGGAUGCGAGCGUUAUCCGGAUUUAUUGGGCUUAAAGGGAGCGUAGACGGGAUGUUAAGUCAGUUGUGAAAGGCUGCGGCUCAACCGCAGCACUGCAGUUGAUACUGGCGUCCUUGAGUGCGGUUGAGGUGUGUGGAAUUCGUGGUGUAGCGGUGAAAUGCUUAGAUAUCACGAAGAACUCCGAUUG
rnacentral:rRNA from 1 species